AUUGGUCAAUGGACGAAAGUCUGAACCAGCCAUGCCGCGUGCAGGAUGACUGCCCUAUGGGUUGUAAACUGCUUUUAUAUAGGAAGAAAAACUUUCUCGUGAGAAAGCUUGACGGUACUAUAAGAAUAAGGAUCGGCUAACUCCGUGCCAGCAGCCGCGGUAAUACGGAGGAUCCAAGCGUUAUCCGGAAUCAUUGGGUUUAAAGGGUCUGUAGGUGGACAAAUAAGUCAGAGGUGAAAUCCUGCAGCUCAACUGUAGAACUGCCUUUGAUACUGUUUGUCUUGAGUUAUUAUGAAGUGGUUAGAAUGUGUAGUGUAGCGGUGAAAUGCAUAGAUAUUACACAGAAUACCGAUUGCGAAGGCAGAUCACUAAUAAUCAACUGACACUGAUGGACGAAAGCGUGGGUAGCGAACAGGAUUAGAUACCCUGGUAGUCCACGCCGUAAACGAUGGUCACUAGCUGUUUGGACUUCGGUCUGAGUGGCUAAGCGAAAGUGAUAAGUGACCCACCUGGGGAGUACGUUCGCAAGAAUGAAACUCAAAGGAAUUGACGGGGGCCCGCACAAGCGGUGGAGCAUGUGGUUUAAUUCGAUGAUACGCGAGGAACCUUACCAGGGCUUAAAUGUUAGGUGACAGAUCUAGAAAUAGAUUUUUCUUCGGACACUUAACAAGGUGCUGCAUGGUUGUCGUCAGCUCGUGCCGUGAGGUGUCAGGUUAAGUCCUAUAACGGGCGCAACCCCUGUUGUUAGUUGCCAGCGAGUAAUGUCGGGAACUCUAGCAAGACUGCCAGUGCAAACUGUGAGGAAGGUGGGGAUGACGUCAAAUCAUCACGGCCCUUACGUCCUGGGCUACACACGUGCUACAAUGGUAGGUACAGAGAGCAGCCAAUGCGCGAGCAUGAGCAAAUCUAUAAAACCUAUCUCAGUUCGGAUCGGAGUCUGCAACUCGACUCCGUGAAGCUGGGAAUCGCUAGUAAUCGGAUAUCAGCCAUGAUCCGGUGAAUACGUUCCCGGGCCUUGUACACACCGCCCGUCAAGCCAUGGAAGUUGGGAGUGCCUGAAGUCCGUUUCCGCAAGGAUCGGCCUAGGGUAAAAUCGAUAACUAGGGCUAAGUCGUAACAAGGUAGCCGUACCGGAAGGUGCGGCUGGAACACCUCCUUUCU
rnacentral:rRNA from 1 species